CCAAAAAACCCCUCGCUUCGUCUCUCUAAAAAAUUCCCAUACACUCUCUGAAACUCCGCCCUAAACCGCCGCCGGGAAUCGCCUCAAGGCGGCGAAACUUCUCCAAAUGAACCCAAAUUUUCACCAGUUAACCCCCGCUGCCUCCUCUAUCCAAAUCCCCAAAUCAAUUCCCUCGAAUUACUCUCAAAAGCCUCGAAUUUCAAAUCUGAGUUUCAACCUAGAAACCCUAGUUUACCCAAAUCACCCCAAAAUCAUACCCCAUAGUCCUCACACCCCUCUGAACCCUAAACCACAACCAAUUCCCCAAAAACCCUAGCCAAUUUCUUCGAAUUUCCAAUCUGAGCUCUUGUGCCCUUCUUCUUUUAGUCAGAGUUAUGGCAUUUGAACCCCAAACUUUCAUUAGCCGACUGUUCUUGUUGAGAACAGUAAUGUCAGUUCAAUGUUCAUAUUACCCAUUUGCUUCAAAGUUUGGUCAAGACUUGUUUUGUUUGGCUUUGUUUGGUCCGUAUGGAAACAAGUUUGGUAACUCUUUUUGCCUAUCUUUUCUCUUUUCCUUCUCUGAGAAUCCCUUUUCAUUUCCUUUCUUUUAUGUUUAGUAGCAUGUUUUAGGUUUUUUUUUCUUUUCAGAAUCUUCUGUUUGUUUUUCUUUGCAUCCAGUAAUUAGUUUAGUCAAAAGCAUAUGAAAAUUUCAUUGUAUAAGGAUUGUUUGUAAUUGCAUAAAUUUAGUUUAAUCCUUAGGGUCGAUACAUGAAAUGAGCUUGCCUGUUUCUCCAUUUUUUCCUCUUGGGUUCAGUAUUGGUUUAGGAGCAUUUUUAGCCUAUCUUUGCAGCCCUAUGUUAAUUUCGUUUGAUUACUGAUACAUUAAUCAUUGAACUUUAAGCUUUGUUUAGGUUUAAUUUAGAUAAACUUUUUGUCUAUCAAUUAGGUUAAUUUUAAUUUAAAUUGCAUCAGCUCUCUUACCUUUAUUUCUGUUAACAUCUUUUGCAUCUUUUGAUUUGUUUUGAUUGUGUUUGACCUGAUUUGAAAAUCAAUAGAAAUCUUAGGGACCUAAUUGAACUAAAAGAAUUUAGGUUAAAGAUGAAAUAUGCAGUAACUUAAAGGGUAAAAUUGGACUUUCACUUAGGCUAAAAUCAGAAGGUUCUAGUAUUUAGGACAACUGUCCCUAUCCUUAGCAAAAUGCUAAUAUUGGAUAAGAAAAAAGGACAUACAGCUGUCAAAAGAUGUUGUACUAUCCUAAAAAUUCAAAAUAUUAGGUUAGAAUAUGUCUUUUUGAUGCUCUUUUGGUACACUCUAUAAGAAGAAAAUAUUCCUUCACUCAUAUACAGACAUUCGCCAUUAUUUGCCUGCAUAAAGGCUUUGAAAAACACAUCAAAUUUUUAGAAACCUAAAGAGCACAAAAAUUUUUUAGCUAUUGUUUCAUUGAAAGCUGAUCGAUUUCCUUGCUGAUUUCGACAAAAGUUAGAACAAGUUUUGCUCUGAAAUUUCUGGAUUCUUAAGUUGCAAGAUGGCUUGAGUUUGAAUGCUGUGAUAUUGCUGGUUUUUGGCUGUUUAGUUUUAUUGAUUUUUGCUCUGUUUUUGCUGCUUUUUCUCCUUGAAGAUUCACAACCUUGUUCUUAUUCUUUGUAACUAGGUAUAUCUUGAGCUUUGAAACAUGAAUAAAAGUUUGUUUUGAAGAGUGUCUUGCUGCCAUGAAGCCUUGGAGUUCAUAUUUACACAUUUUGUUUCUUCUUGAUGUUUUACCUUUAAGUCAUUUGAAUACUGCUCUUUUGGCUUUUCUUAUUAGCUUAUGUGUAGUUACCUUAAAGUCUUGUAGUGAGGAUUCAUAAAAUAACUAGGAUAUUUAGUGUUGAUAGGGUGUGAACAACACCUCUUGCAUAUGCUGAGUUUAGGUUGAGUAGUCCAGUUCUAAAAGAAAAAAUGUUUACUUUCAGUAUUUUGCUACCUCCAUGUGAUUCUGUCCAAUAUUUUUACUGAUUGUUAAUAGGUGAGCUUUCCAUAAGUGUUGGGUAUGGUCAAAACUAGGCUAUGAUUGAUGUGUAAGUACUUUUGGAUGAAGUGUUCAGCAUUACUACAAAUGUGUAAAAUGAUUAUAUGCUUUUGCUGCUUCAUGUUGAAAAAAUGUUAUAGAUAGCGCAACUUAGAACUUAUAACAUACAAAUAAGGUGUUCAAAUUCUAUAGUAAAGUUCAUGUAAAUAACUAUCUUCUAUUUCGAGUAAAGUAUCUCUGUUCUUUGAUGGUUUAUUCUUGAGUUAUCUCUCUGUACGAAAAACUUUGUAAUACUAAACACCCUCGUGUAUGUGGAAGCCUUGGACAUAACAGGGCUAAAAGUCAAUAUUUCAUUUUUUAGGCUUGGUCUCAAGUUAGCCAUCUUAGAGGUUCGUCGUUAAAAAGGACUUUCUGGCCUAUAUGGUAGGCCAUUUGUGCUGUCAUUUUGGGCUUCAGUCUACGCCCACAUCAUGCUAAUCUAGGGCAAGCCCAGUUUUUUUUAAAAGAGGAAUUAUAUUGAAUUGGUCGAAAUGUUUUACAUCAUAUAAAGAUUUACAUGUCCACUCAAAAAAUGGUUUCUAUAUUUAUUAUCUUUAGAAGUCUACUUUCAAUGGGGAAAAAGUAGUAGAUCACCUAAAGCUUCGUUUCAUACCAAUGGACAGUGAUAUUAAUAUGGUCUUUUCUUUAAGUUCGUAACCUUUUUUCUUCCUUUAAUAGUACAAGUUUUCACACGUAAUCUCAAUUUUAGGCAUUCAAAUACUCCUUAAAUUCGUAGAAGCUUUAGGAGUGUGGUUUAAUUUAUUAUCGUGAUUGUGUACACGUUCACGUGACAUGAUUAUGAUCCUAAUAACAAAUUCGAGGUGUGCUAUACACAACAAAAAUCCAUAAGCUAUGGCUCUCACAUUAGUAUUACUUAGAUAUUUAACAAUCCUAAAUAAUCAUAGUUUGCUUUAGGCUCGAUUUAGACUAGUAUUGUGAUUAUGUAUACGUUUGCGUAACAUAAUUACAAAUUUAAUUCUAAAAAUAACUCGAGGUAUGCGUUCGCGCAACUUCAACCAAACUUUUCUUAAUAAAAUAAGCAAAGCGUUAUUAAUUGUGGACACGUUCGCGUGACANNNNNNNNNNNNNNNNNNNNNNNNNAAAUCAAGUGAUUAAAAGCAGUAAAAGGUAAAUACACAUAGGUUCUAAAAAAUAAGUAAUUAGACAACUUAAGCCAAGUAUAAAUUGCUAAGUGACCAUGCUAGAACCACGGAAUCCGAGAAUGCCUAACACCAUCUCCCAGGUUAACAAAAUUCCUUACUUAGAAUUUCUGGUUCGCAGACUUUUAAAUAAAGUCGAAAACUUCCUCGAUUUGGGAUUUAAAAUAAAUCGGUGACUUGGGAUACCAAAUAAUUUAUUCCAAGUGGAGACUCUGAUAAAUUAAUUAAUCUCAUGUCGAUUUAUGUCACUUUAAUUGGAAAAACUCCCAUAUACCCUCAAAGUAUAAAAAAAGAGGUGUGACAGCUCUGGCGACUCUGCUGGGGACAAGAACCCAGAACUUCUGUUUCAGGGUUCAAGAAUGCGAGCUUGUUAAAUGUGAUUUUAUUUGGCUUUAUUUUCGAUAUUACUGUAUUUGGUGGGUUUAAUGUGCUAAUUGCCAUUUAUUUACCGCUUUGAUAUUUCUUGAACUGUAUUUAAAUGUCUUCUUAAGCCUCCCUUCCGAGUCUUCUAAAAAGCGGUGCUCACGUUCGCGUGACCCACUUUUCUGUUAGAGUUAUACCAAAUAGAACAGGGUUGGUCAAGCAAUAAGGCUAGGCAGACUUUCGUGCUCCCGGUACGUUGCCCCCUCCUCGACUCGAGUUUGUCCGCUUGGGUAAGCCAGGUUUAGAACACAACCCAACGUUUAAACUUAGAAUAACAUAACCUCAUGCCAGAUCCCCAGUAGGAACGUUUAUUUGCAUCACGUGCAUUUGACCUUGGGGACUCAACAUAGGGGUUGGGUUCGUCUAGGACAAGUGUACCCAAAAUAAAAACCAUCCUGAUGCAUCCUACAUGCUAUGUGAAUAUUUAUUAGCUUGCAUGUUGUCUAGUUAGGAAAAGGAAACAAAGAGAAAAACCAAGAGUGAGAUAGGAUAGAGAAUUUACCCGGUUCUAAAAAUCCCAAUAUUUGAAAAUGUCUCGAAACUCUGCCAAAAUUUUUGAAAAAAAAAGUGAAAAAAGGAAAAUGUAUUUCAAAAAAAAGUGUUAGUCAAAUAUCAUAUUUUUUUAUGUCAAAAUUGAUCGAACUACGCAGGUCUGAUUCUCACCGGAUGUGGGAUACGUAGGCAACCCACAUAAGGUUCGGCCUCAUCUUUUUACAAAAAAAAUGAUCAAGUAAAGUGUAGUUUAGGGCUUUGGUCAAAAGAAUAAGUCGACCCAGCUUCGGUUGUAUUUUUAAGUCGUUCUUACCGGAAUAGCCUUAGAUUAUCUUUUAAUUGUCGAAAGGCUAUUUUCGGGAAGAACGAGCCAGUCUGUCUGUAAGGUGUCUUUUUCCAUAAAAUACUUUCCCCCGGCCUCAAAAUUUAUUUGGAAUUGUGAAGGGGCCACAUUUACAAAAACGACCAUUUUUACUAAAAGUAGAAUAAAAGGGGUCUUUGUCCGUUGAUUUUCUUUAGAAAUUGAAAACUUGUUUUGCAAAAAGAGUCCACAAGAGUCAAUCCUAACCUUAACCCUCCACAGGUACAAAUGAAUACUGUCCAGAACCCGUCACAAAUGAAUACUGUCCAGAACCCGUCACAAAUGAAUAUUAUUCAGAACCCAUCACAAUUGGUCAUAGAAUAGGCUCAGCUGCAGCUUCGCAUGUGGUGGAAUGAUUUAGAUAAAGAUGGCUAGGAUUGGGUGAAAAAGCAGUUGGGUUCCCUUAUAGACAUCAUGAGCAUCGAACCCCGGGAGGAUUUAAUCAAAGCCUUGGUAACCUUUUGGGAUCCUGUCCACAACGUGUUCCGUUUCUCCGAUUUCGAGCUCACCCCUACUCUAGAGGAAAUGGCCGGAUACAUUGACUUUGGCCAAGACUUGAGGAAACAACAACUCAUAUUCCCAAGGGCUCCCUCUGUGCACAAGUUCUUCGAUCUUCUGAAUAUUAGUAAAAAAAUGAAGAAGGCUCAUGUAAGCAAAGGAUGUUGUUCUUUCUACUUCUUAUAUGUCAGGUUUGGGCAUUUAACUGGGUUUGAAACACAUAAAAAAGGGUUAAACAACAAACAAGAUAAGAGCACCUGGAAAAUUCAUCGUUGGUUCGUGUUUAUUGUGGCGUUUUUGGGGAUCAUGGUCUUUCCAAAUGCAGAAGGGACAAUAGACACUUGCAUGGCCAGAAUUGAACAACUCCUCACUACCUAGGAAGAUCACACGCUUGUUUCGUUAGUACUGGCAGACAUUUAUCGAGCAUUAACAUUGUGUAAAUCCGGGGCUCAAUUCUUCGAGGGUUGCAACAUUGUUCUUCAAAUAUGGUUGAUCAAACAUCUCCGCCAUCACCCCAAGUUCAUGAGUUACGAUGUGGAUGGGAACAACUUCAUAAAGAGUUAUGAAGAGAGGGUGAAAGAUUACAAAACUCUAGAAGGUUUUGAGGCUUGGGUUUCCCACUUAAGGACUUUAAAGGCAAGUCAAAUUGAAUGGAUUCUAGGGUGGCUUCCAAUAAUAGAAGUCAUAUACAUAACAUCUUCAAAAGGCUACUUGAUGAUGAUGGGCCUGAGGAGUAUCCAACCAUAUGCACCACAAAGAGUUCUAAGGCAACUGGAAAGGUAUCAAGUGGUACCCGAAGAUGUAGAUUUGAGUACCCAAGUCAUUGAGCUACACCCAGAAGCAACACUGCCUGAGGCUUUAGUCCAACGGGAUUAGAAUGGAUGCUGAUAUCUAAAAAUGACAUCCAGGUACCGGAUCUUGCGAGAGGGGAAGUGGAUCCAAAUUAUGAUGCGUGGUUUGAGAGAAGGUUUUGUGCAAAUAAUGAGCCCGAGCCUGAAAGGCCCGCCAAGAGAUCUCAUGUUCAAGCUUUUGAUGAUAAAAUUCGGGAAAGGCUGGCCUGGGGAGAGAAGGAGAAAAAUAUCAAGCCACCAUUCACGCUUUGCAAGAAGAAUUGAGAAAUGAGGUAUUCAAUAAUGAUCUACAGGCACAAGAAGUUGAAAGUGAAAGAAGAAGGUAGGCCUAAGAAAAUGAAGCUCUCUAGGCCCAAGUUCGAAAAAUGAGAAUAGCAGCUGAGAACUCGGGCAGAAGCAGGAAAGAUGAAAGGCUCAUCUACAACCUUACGCAAAAAGUGCGUGACUGUGAGGAUGAUUUGCAAAAGACUGAGUCUGAGCUAGUAAAAGUACGAACGAAGUUGGCCAAAAAUGCAGAAGAAUUCGUUCGACAGUUGAAGGAAAGAUAUGACAGAAGGGGUCAUGGGCUGGAAAAAAGGAGCUUAAUAGCCUUGAGGGUGAAAUGACUAAACAAGCCAAGAGCUUCAAAGCCGAGAGAGAACAUUGCUAUGCUUUGAUGGCACAACUAGAGGGAGACCUAUAGCAUUUGCAAGAACAGAAUCAUACGCACACCCAGGUCUUAGAGGCUAGAUCUCAGCAGAUUGGGCGGUUGUUGCAAGAAAAGGGCAUCAUCAGGGAAAGGGUUAGAAGAAUCGCCGACUACAUUGUGAUGAAGUGCAACGAGUGCGAGGACAUGACCAGGUCCAUGUUCUUCGCCACAGUAAUGAUCUUUGUUCGCCAGAUAAUGGAUGAUCUCUAUCGCCUCCAAGAUGACAUGGUGCGUAGGUCGCAACAAGACCAGUUGGUGUUCCUAGGGCAGGAUUGGAGGCACUGAUGUACUCUUGAUAUUUUCUCUUUUUCGAGUCUGUAUUUUCAUUCCUAAAGUAUGUUUCGAGUCUGUUUUAGUUUUAAAUUCUCAAGUAUGUAGGAUCGAGUCUUUGUAAUAGAGAAAAAUUGGAAGUCUUGUUUUAAUGAAAAUUUGAAAAAACCAAAAAUAUUUUAUUUAUUUCAUUUAUUCAUUGAACUAUGUGAUGAUCCGAUUCGCGUGGAAUCGUGAUACGUAGGCAAUCCCAUUCGGAUCCAGUCAUGGUUUUUAAAUAACUCAAAUAAAAAUGAAAAUGUUGAAAAGAGAAAACCAAAAAGAAAAAGCAAAAAUAAAAUAGAGAAAACAAGGAAAAGAGAAUGAGAACAAGAGAGAAAAUAAGAGUGCAAAAGAGAGCAAGAGAGAAGAUCGGGGAGAUAAACAAAAACUGGGAUGAGACAUACAGUCGGUGCAAAACAUGUAGAAACAUAUUUAACUGUAUAAGUGCAUCACACCCCUAUGUGCGAUUGCCUAUGUGCUAAUUGCUUCAAACUAACCGGUUUGUUGUCUACUGUUGAGUAUAGGUUCUAUUUUUAAGGUGGUUGGUUUGUGGUAACCUGGCUUCACACCCUUACUUUACAAGAUCCAAGGUUAGUGUAGAAAUGUCAUCAGGAGGUCAUCCACCAACAAUUCCCAUCCCAGAGGAUAGCCCGCUAUCGAUUAUCCCAACCUCAAAGUCAGCGGCUGCUGAAGAGAAUAGGGCACUGCACCUCCGCGUGCUGGAAAUGUGGGACGCUUGGUCCAAUGGUAGAGAGCCGCCAAGUGCCAUACCUGGUUUCCCCGAGCUACUUCCUAGAGCAAGUGGAAAUUCCAACGUCCCAAUAAGUUACCCAAAUACCCUACUCGGAUACCCCACCAUCUCAGCUCACUUCGCUGGAACACCUUCUGAGGUUCGCCCCCAGGUGAUUUCGGGAGUGGCCUCUAACAUAUUUACCGCACCACCAACUUCGGCUACGUCACAACCAGCUUUUUCCAGGCCAAGCUUUGAUCCAUCAUCCUUCACUUUCCAAGUACCAUCUUUUCCACCAGACCCUACCCAUUUCACCACCAAUUCUUACCCUUAACAACCACGGUACAAGUUUAAUGCGGGACAAGAGAAGGCUACAAAGAACCCCGAGCAAGAGUAAAUCACUCGAAAAAUAAGGAGCAUGGAAUAGAGCCUCAAGAAUAUACAAGGCUUGAGCGACCAAAAGAGCAUAUCCUACGCUGAUCUAUGUAUGUUCCCGCAUGUGCAUUUGCCCCUCAGUUUCAAGACCCCCAAGUUUGAAAAGUAUGACGGGCACGGGGACCCCAUAGCCCACCUCAAGAGGUAUUGCAAUCAAUUAAGAGGGGCAUGCGGAAAAGAAGAGCUCCUAAUGGCUUAUUUCGGAGAGAGUCUAGUUGGCAUUGCAUCUGAGUGGUACAUGGAUCAAGACAUGUCUCGCUGGCAUAUAUGGGAUGAUCUAGCUCGAGAUUUCAUCAGACAAUUCUAGUACAACAUAGACAUAGCUCCAGAUAGAAAUUCCCUCUCUAAUCUCAAAAAGAAUUCUUUGGAAAGUUUCUGAGAAUAUGCUGUUAAGUGGCGCGAACAAGCGGUCAGGGUGAAGCCCCCGAUGGAUGAUACCGUGAUGUUCAGUGUUUUUCUACAAGCCCAAGAAGCGGACUACUUUCAGAAUAUGAUGUCUGCAAUGGGAAAGCCGUUUGCUGAGGUUAUCAAAAUUGGGGAGAUGGUCGAAAAUGGUCUGAAAACAGGUCGUAUAUUGAGCCAAUCUUCUAUAAGAGCUAUGUCCCAAGCAAUCCAAAGCGGGUGAGGAGGCGUAGCAAACAAAAAGAAGAAAGAAGAUGUGGCGAUGGCGGCUUCAAGUCUGAGAAACCCCCGUCCACCCAGAGGUUACUUCCUUCUAAGCACCCCACAACAUUAUUAUCCUCAUCAGGAUAUGGCCUAUGCUAUGGCUCCUCAGCCGUAUGCAGUAAUGAACGCCCAGCCAUAUGCUCGGCCACAACAAUAGUUUAACCAAAAUCGAGCUCCACUUCUUAGAAAUAACCUUCCUCACCAAGCUCUAUAUAAUCAUCGUCCCCCUCAAAAUAAUUUUCCAUAUAAUGCCCGUGCUCGGGAACCACCUAGAAAAACAAACUUCAUGUCUAUUGGUGAAUCAUACUCUAGCCUUUUCCCUAAACUGGUCUAGAUGAGUUUGUUGCAACCCGUACCCCAAACCAGGAAAAACCCAGAGUCGCUCUCCUACCGACACGGUACUCGAUGUGCUUACCAUUCAGCAGCGGAAGGGCAUGACACUGAAGACUGUUGGACUCUCAAAAGGGCGAUUGAAAACUUAAUAGAGCAAAAGAGGGUAGUGUUGAAAGAUGAAGAGAUCCCCAAUGUGACCAACAACCCAUUGCCAUCUCAUAAUAAUGGGCUAGUUAUUGGGAUGAUUUGUGAAGAUAAAAAGUUUGAUCCAGCUCUAAAAGCCAUCAUUACCAUCGCCGAUGUGGAAAGGAAGCCAAAGGCUACCGCAAAGCAAGAUAAGGGGGAGACGAAGAGUAAAUCUGCUCCUCAAAGUGAAGAAAAUACUGUGGAAACCAAAACAGAGGAAGUACCCCCUAAAGACGCCAUUCUUUAUGUUCCCCGAGCUCACAGGAAAGAACAAUUGGCGUUGAGUCCUCCUAAGAGGUUCGAGCUGAACAAGGGACCCAAGAUGUAUAUACCCAAAGGGACUUAUGUGGCGCGAGGACCAGUAAUUCCACCCAAGUUAAACAAGCCCAUGAUCAUUAGCUGCGCACCACAAAGGCCUAUGAAAGACCUCACUGCAGUCCCCUAGAACUACAAUAGAGCAAUUGUGACGUACAAGGGGAAAGAAAUCGUAGGGGAAGUAAAUGAAACCAACCCAACAAGGAAGUACCUCAAUCUGGAAGAAGUGAGCAAUGCCAAGCAGAAUUGCUUCCCUCUCAAAAAGCCAAUUAGUGCCGAAGAAGUAGAGGAAUUCUUUUGAAAAAUGAAAACUGCGAACUACGAGGUAAUUGACCAACUCCAAAAGUGUCCCGCUCAGGUCUCGCUCUUGUCUCUACUAAUAAGCUCGAAUGAGAAUUAGAAAGUGCUGAUAAAGACCCUCAAUGAAGCCUAUGUUCCAAUUGAAACCACUGUGGAGCAACUAGAAAGGAUGGCAGAAAGAUUCUUCGCAGUCAACCAGAUUUCAUUUAGCAAGAAUGACUUGCCCCCGUAAGGGGCUGUCCACAACAAAGCUCUUUAUCUGAUAGUUAAGUGUGAAGGGUACUAUGUAAAAAGAGUAAUGGUGGAUGGCAGAUCAGGGGUUGACAUAUGCCCUCUCUCAACUUUGCAAAGAAUAAAAAUUGGGACUGAGAGGAUCGGGCCUAAUAAUGUUUGUGUGUGUGCUUUCGAUGGCAUCAAGAGGGACACAAUAGGGGAAAUUAAUUUGAUCUUGACUAUCGGUCCUGUGGAUUUUGAAGUGACGUUUCAGGUCUUGGACAUGGAUACCUCCUAUAAUUUUCUUUUAGGAAGGCCUUGGAUCCAUGCUGCGGGGGCCGUACCUUCUACCCUCCAUCAAAUGGUGAAGUUUGAACAUGAAGAUCAGGAAAUUGUGGUUCAUGGAGAAGACAAGCAAUCAAUUUACUGGGACCCAUCAGUCCCAUGCCUCGAAGCUAGAGAAGGAGCGAGAAUAUAAUUUAUUGGGCUUUUGAGGUUGUGGUCGCAGAUCAAUGUGAGGAAGGAAGCCCAUGUCCUCAGCCCUUUCUAUCAAAUGCGUCGAUCAUGGUCGCUAUUGAAAUGAUCAAGCAUGGUUAUAAGCCUGGGAAGGGACUCGGGGUAUCAUUGCAAGGUAUCACAGAACAUAUCACUUUAGCCGCCAACGAGAAGUUCUUCGAUAUGGGUUUUCACACCACAGAAACUGAUGUGACAUGGGCAAAUAAACGAAAGAGCAAUGGUUAGGUGUUACCUUAGUCGGUCCUGCAUCUCUACAAAACAUUCGUCAACCCCAAGUACACCGAAGAAAAAGAAGAUGAGGCCUUAACGGCCGAGGAAAUUGAGGACAUAUGUUGAACCAUGAGGAAAAUGUUAUAUGAAGCCUAUAUGGUCCAGCCGGGUGAAGGCUCGAGCACUGCUGAGGUACAAUUUAUGGGGCCCAAUGCCAAGCUGCAAAAUUGGAAGGCUACUCCUUUCCCAGUUAGGCGGGAAUCCCGGUAGUCCUGUCUUGCCACUUUUUCUGCAUUCCGAGUUAUUCCAGGGUGUAACUCGAAUGUUUCUUUUAGUUUAUUGUCUUUAAAAUUCCAAAGUAAACCCUUCUAUCUUCAAAAUUUAAUGAAAUGAAAUCAAUAUUUCAUCGUCUAUGAAUUUCUUUCUUUAUUCUUUCUGAUUUUUUUACUUUUCUUAUUUCUUCCUUUCAGUUCUAAUAAUGCAGACUUAAAUAACAUGACAUGCUUGCGGACUUCAUGCCUAGAUCAUAGCACGCUGUCUAACUGUGAAAUAAUGAAUCAUGAAUCGGAAUCUGAUGAAGAAGAGGCUUUUAGGGAAAUAAACCGAGAAUUGGAACAAUUUGAGAAUAAACCUAAGCUGAACUUAAAUGAAACCGAGCCGGUUAAUUUGGGUAGUUCAGAAGAGGUCCAAGAAACCAUGAUAAGCAUUCACACGGAUGAAAGAACCAAGGAUGCAAUGAUCCAACUUUUGUUCAAAUUCAAAGAUGUGUUUGCUUGGUCCUAUGAUGAUAUGCCAGGACUAAGUGUUGAUUUAGUGGUACACAAAUUGCUGACUUACCCUGAUUAUCCCCCUGUCCAGCAAAAAUAGAGGAAGUUCAAAACUGAUAUCAGUGACAAGAUCAAAGAAGAGGUCACCAAACAGUUGAAGGCGGGGGUGAUCCAAGUGGUCCGAUACUCCACAUGGCUGGCUAAUGUGGUUUCCGUGCUAAAGAAAGAUGGGAAGACCUGAGUGUGUGUUGACUAUCGGGAUCUGAACAAAGCAAGUCCCAAAGACAACUUCCCUUUUUCAAACAUCCACAUCCUUAUUGACAAUUGUGCCAAACAUGAGAUACAGCCUUUCGUGGAUUGUUAUGCUGGGUACUAUUAGGUCUUGAUGGAUGAAGAAGAUGCAGAAAAGAUAGCCUUCACCACACCCUAGGGCACUUAUUGUUACAGGGCCAUGCCUUUUGAUUUGAAGAACGCCAGGGCAACUUAUAUGAGGUCUAUGACUGCCAUCUUUCAUGACAUGAUGCACCAAGAAAUUGAGGUAUAUGUGGAAGAUGUGAUCAUCAAAUCCAGAACGCAUGACGACCAUGUUCGGGAUCUGAGAAAGUUCUUUGAACGUCUGCGUAAGUAUGACUUGAAGUUAAAUCCAGCUAAAUGCGCAUUUGGAGUUCCGUCUGGGAAACUCUUGGGAUUUAUAGUCAGUCGGAGGGGCAUCGAGUUAGAUCCAACAAAGAUAAAGUCUAUUCAUGAUCUACCUCCUCCAAG
rnacentral:lncRNA from 1 species